CAAUAGCGUAUAUUAAAGUUGUUGCAGUUAAAAAGCUCGUAGUUGAAUUUUUGCUUGCCGCCGAUGUCGGAACUUCCGUACGUUCGGCGGCGUGCAUCCUUGGGUGGAACCUGUGUGGCAUUAGGUUGUCGUGCAGGGGAUGCUCAUCGUUUACUGUGAAAAAAUUAGAGUGUUCAAAGCAGGCUUACGCCGUUGAAUAUAUUAGCAUGGAAUAAUAAGAUAGGACCUUGGUACUAUUUUGUUGGUUUGCGCACCGAUGUAAUGAUUAACAGGGACAGUUGGGGGUAUUCGUAUUCCAUUGUCAGAGGUGAAAUUCUUGGAUUUCUGGAAGACGAACUACUGCGAAAGCAUUUACCAAGGAUGUUUNCAUUA
rnacentral:rRNA from 1 species